AGGACGAACGCUGGCGGCGUGCUUAACACAUGCAAGUCGAGCGGAAAGGCCCUUCGGGGUACUCGAGCGGCGAACGGGUGAGUAACACGUGAGCAACCUGCCCUUAGCUCCGGGAUAGCUCCGGGAAACCGGAAUUAAUACCGGAUACGACCACGGCCGACAUCUGCUGUGGUGGAAAGGAUUCCGGCUAAGGAUGGGCUCGCGGCCUAUCAGCUAGUUGGUGGAGUAACGGCCAACCAAGGCGACG
rnacentral:rRNA from 1 species